UUCUGGGACAAAGAUGCCUGCUUUUUCUCUUCGCAAACCCCGGGUGCUCGUAAGUUAGAGCGGUUUCCCGGGUUGCUACCCUGAGGUCUAAAAAGAGGCCAAACGACUGAGAAAAACGAGCCGUGCUGAUACGGUGUGAGCUCCCGUGAAGCUGCAGCUGAAACUACUCUCAGACUUGUCAGUUUCCUGAGCCAGGCAUUCUGAUGGGUGCUGGGGACACAACAGUGAAAGAGACAGCCCUGCCCUCACAAGGCCUGCACAGUAAGGUGAGGCCCCUCUGCGUGGAGUCCUAUGCUCCCCCCGAGUGAAAGGCAUUCUGAAUUUCGAAGUCAGGCCUCCUCCCCGGUCACUGCCAAAGAAUUGGGGGAUGAAGUCCAGACCAGUGUCUCGUGAUCCUGCCAUCUGGCUAAGUGGCUACCCUUCCACCCUUGCUGGUCUCCAAAGCAAGUUGCCAUUUUAUUUACCACCUGUGUGAACACAGGUUGCACGAUGGGUCUUUUGUCCUGAAGACAUUGCCCUUUGAAGACCAGGAAGGUCUUGCUGCCUAAGGAAGUUGCUUCAGCAGAGGGACCUCCUUUAUUAUCCCGCAUUGCCUUCUCAGAGGAUCUUGUGGCUGUUGCAUCUGAUUGUCAGGGGUAUGGCCAGUCCUCUGCUCCUGAACAAGAAACCAAGGAGCCAUCACAGGUUGGCACAGCUGUGACUUGGUGUCUCCAUCCCAACUUCCGCUCAAACCUGGUCUGAUGAUUCAGAUCUUGUCUGAACCAAAUACCUUGUCUUUUACGAUGCCUUCCCUGGACUUCCCUGGAGGUGGUUCUUACAUGGUGCCCGCAUGUUUCACUUGACCAGUGGCUAGUGGCAGCACAGGCCUCAUCAUGGCCAUGUCAAGGGUCACUCUUAUUUAAGAGAAGGAUGAAGUGGUACAAGGUCAGGAACCCCCUUUCAUGGCAAUCAAUCACUGAGUCACAGAAGGGUUCAGACAGAUGGGAAACCAACAAGACCACCCCCUGAAGCAGGAAGAGAGGUUGGUCAGACACACACUGCCCCAUGGAAGAGACCCACAGGAAACACUGAUGGACUGAAUUAUGUACCCAUUAUGAGACAGCUGUGGAGCGAAUCUGUGGAUUAAUGUGCCUACUUAAUUGCAGUUGUAGCAAAUCAUUGAUCAAAUUUUGGAACUAGAUGAUCCCUUUUUGCUCCUCCUAGUAUGCUCUCCACAAGAGUGACAAGGUAAGGGGCUCCUGACCCACAUAUGAAUACAAGGGAAGCCCCAUCCCCUGGAAUGAAGAAAACUGAGGGCCUCUUUUUCCUAUUCUGUGGGUCUUCUAGAAUAUCCAAGAUGCAUUAAGGAUUGGAAAGGUGCCCUCUUUUUAGAAACUUCAGCCAAAGAGCACAGAGCAAAGCAGAUGUCUAUGCCCACUUUCUUGGAAGGAAAGCCUUGAAACACACUUCACAAGACUCUUCCAUCAUCUCUCAUUUAGAGAGCCUGUGUCCCCAAUGCUGUAUCUUUGCCCCCUCUACCUGGAAUGCUCUCCUGUUGCCACCACAUUUCUGCUUGUAGACAUUUAACCCAUCCUUCACAGCCUGAUAAAAAAGGCAUCUGCUCAAAGGAGUAGUCUCAGAUCUACAUGGUCAGAAUCACACUCUGUCCCCACCGGCCCCGUAAUCAGGUGCUUAUGCUGUUCAUAGAUGGGUUGUUCAUACAUCCCACUUUCCUUGGGACUGUCCUGCUUUAUGCCUGUCAUGCCAGGAUUCAUUAAUAGCAUCUUUUCACCUUCAAAACUGUCUCAAUUGAACGUUAGACGGUAUGGUGUGGUGGACACACCCUCUGGUGACCCCCAUUGGGUCAUAUCUUUUUCUGACCCCUUCCCUUGAAUGCAGGAAGAACUGGUGACUUGCUUCUGGCCAACAGAAUGUGGCCAAGGUGACAAGAUAGCCAUCCUUUGGUUGUGUCACUUUUUAUAAGACUCUGUCUUCGUGACUAAAGAGAGUGGGUCCCCUGCAGGCCUUGAAGAAACAAGCUGCUAUGAUGUGAACUGCCUGAGGGAAGGGCCUUAGGAACUGUGGGCAGGAACCAUGGGCAGCCUCUACCUGCUGAAGGCCUUGGUCUUCUGGAUGUAAGGAACUGAAUUCUGCCACCAGUCACAUGGCCAGAGGAGGACCCCAAGCUCCAGCGAGGAAAAUUGUGACUCCUCAAUGACGGUCUCUGAGCCCUGAGCAGAGGACCCACGUGAGCUGUGCCUGGACUCCUGACCCACAGACACUGUGAGGUAUCUGAAAUGCCUGCCCUUUCCUCCAUGCCCAAAAGAGUGCAGAACUCAGAAGUUCUUCAUGGAUGCCUUCCAGAUAUGCUACUUGAAACCACUGAUGGGAAGACCGAGACUCGAGAGGCAAAAGUGCUUGCCCCAGGCCUCCCAGCUGGUAAGUACAGAUCCCCAAAGUUUUUCGCCCUAUUCCAAACUGCCUCUUCUCCCCUUGGGAUCCAGCCCUUUGCAAGACACCAGUGACUGGUAAAGUCUAGCGGAAAUCAUGCAGGAUUCAGUGACCAAGCCCUUGAACCUUGGGAAAGUCACUCAGAGAUUUUUUGCAUCUUGGCAUCCAAACUGGCAAAAAGGAAAGAAAUCGAUUUGACCUUAGAGGUUUGGAUUUUGUAAGGCGUAACUGUGAGAACAAUUACUUAAUUGUAAUAGUUAACAAUGGUAAUUGUUGAGGAGUAUAGGCUCAAAACAAACUAGUUCCUUAAUGAGGCAUUUGUUAGCUUGUUCUGAGAUGACAUAAUGCCUUAACUCUAAUGAAGAUGCAGAAAAAAGGAUUUUAAAAACGGUGCUUAAUGUAUAACUCGGUGUUCUACCUCUUCUUCCGUGUGACGUGUGGGUAUACUCUCUCUGUCCCCAUCCUGAGCUCCAGCCUGGGCCCGAAGGCAGAAACCAGAAGUGUGUCCUUGUCUCCCAUCCUGAAAACAGGAUAGUUUGGUACAUUUGGAAGUGCGUUGUGUGCUAGGAGAGCACUUCCAAAAGCAAGUCUCUAAUGCAGAGUGGAGUUUACCUCCCAAACGAUUCAGAUUUUUCCCCUGUCUCCUGGGAACUCAGAAGCCCCUGGAGAAGUAAAAUGAUCCUUGGCAUCAUCAUCAGGAGACAAGGGAGGUAAUAAGAGUCUUCCCCUACGAGACGGGGUUGAAGAGGUAUGAGGUGCUUUGCAGAUGAAGGGCAGGUUGCUCAUGUGGGGUUUUAUCGGGGAUGUCUGGGGCCCACUCUCCUAUCAGUAUCUUCUCUUGCAUUUGGAUUGAAUUCAACAGUAUGGCCUUUCCUACUUACUCAGGGCCAUCAGUGAGGGGGUGAGGUAGGGGCAUAUGAAGGCACAAAGAGUUUGGGGUUGUGAGAGAAGAGAAGACAGAGAGCUGUGAAGAGCUUCAUCACCUCCCUAGCUGGACUUCUUGUUGGAACAGUGACGCCAUACAAGCAUCACUCACGAGGCAGGGUGCAUGCAGAUCAGGGAGACCAGAAGAUAGAGGGAAAGAGAAACCAUGCUGUAAGGAAGAGCUGAAGAGCCCAGGGCUUAAGCUCUGUUUUCAUGGUCAGAGAAACCAGAACCAGAAGACACAAAGGAAGAUAUUCCCACGACAUUUUAAAGGUGCCCCCAGUGAAGGGAGGGGCAACGGAAUACUGCCAUUUUCUGGGCACUUACAAUGAACCAGGGUCUGUAUGAGGCAUUUUGUGUAUUUUUGAUCAUGAAGUUCUCACCUUGUCUCUGAAACUUUCUGUGCUGAGAGAGAGGACUGGAAGUCAGAGAAGUCACAGAACUCACCUCAGAUCCCAGAGCUAGUGAAGAGCAAGAGAAGAGCUUCGAUUUGAAUUUCCACUUCACGCUCACCCUAUUCCGUCAGUCCUGGAGUGGGAAAUUGAACAAGCCUUGGAUGCAAAAGAGAGAGAGACUUUCUCUGGACCUGCGGGCUGGCUGAGGAAGGAUUCUGGUGGUGAGUGCCUCUGACUCGUGGAGCAGGCCAGGUGAGCAGUACCCUUGACUUCCAGUUGUUUUCCUCUUCUUGGGCCAUCAACAGGAGUGCCAGGGACAGCAACUAUGGUGGGUGCUUUGUUUCCAAACUGCUCAUCUUGACAAGCAACAAUUCAGAAAACUGAGAAUAAUCUGAGGACUCACGGUGAGCAGGUACCACUCCACAGUCAUAGGGGAGGAGUAGUUCUUAGUACAGUGUUACCCUCGACCCUCACCCCCCUGACACGGUGGAUGCAUCUUUGGGAGAACACUUGCAUGUGAAAGAUGAGCAUAGCUGGUUGCAUGGGUAAGACAACCGGAAAGGGAUGGUAGGACCCAGUUCCUCCUCUGCCCCUAGAUGAAAACUUGAGCUAUCCCCUGAACUUCCUGGACUCUCUCUGUAAUUAAAAAAAAAGUUAUCAGUUAUUUAAGGUCUCAAAAUAUAGUCUCAACUUACAAAUUAAAUUGUCCAAUCUCACAUCACAGUGGAAUUUUCUAUCUAGAUUUACAGUCCUGACUUUUCUCCUCCUUCUACCUUGGGUUUGCUGCAGAGAGGAAGGCUGAAGUGAGAGAAGAGGGUCCAAGGGGCCACUCUUCCCUUUUCCAUUCAGUUCUUUUACUCUUCUCUCCCCGCUCCUGCUUUGUAUACCUCCGGGGCUGGAGCACAAUGAUUCAGAAGAAGGAAAAGGAGCACAAGGGUUCUGCCAUGAGUGGUCCUGUUGAGUGAGGGCACACAUCUGGGUUUUCCAGAAUCCUCAUUGCUGGAGGUCUUCAUCUUCAGCACUUGCGAUGAUGAUGCCUCCUCCCAGCUAGCUGCUUAUUCCUUUUGCAGCCUCCUUGCACGUGGUGGUGCCCCAACUUUGUUUCUGCCAAGUUCUUCUCAUCUAUUCAGGUCCUCUUAGGUAAGACCUCAGAUGGCCCCAUGCAGGCUCUCUCUCACACGACCCCAAGCAUGGGCCGGCUUUCCUUUCCUCUCCAAAUCUGAAGAGGUAUCCCAAGUGUAGCUCUCUGUCAUUUGUUCCUCCAUGCGAGCAGCUGCCUGGCCAUAAAGUCUGCCCCUAUAGACUUAUUAGACAUGGCUACACCACUAAAGUCCCCCGAUCCUCCACCCAGAAGAUUUAUAUUAAGGUUUGCUAGUCAUGUCUUUGAAGUUCUUCUCUUUUAACUUGAGGUAAAGCUAGAAGUACCUUCCAGUUCUCUCCCUUCAGGACGCGAGGUUCAAAAUGCAUAGCUUUCUCUACAAAAUCUCCUUCUAAACUCCAACUCAACUAACUUCCGCUUUUGUUGUGGGUGGAAGUUAAGAGUGAUAUAACCUGGCUUUUACAUACCUUUUGAAAAUCCUGCUCCGUGGCUUCCCACCUCACUUUGAAGUGUUGUGUAUAUUGUCUUUAGCUAAAUUAAGAAAGAAGAACCAGGGGCACCUGGGUGGCUCAGUCAAUAGAGCAUGAGACUCUUGAUCUCUGGGUCAUGAGUUCAAGCCCCACAUUGAGGAUAGAGUUUACUUUAAAAAAAAAAAAAAGAAGAAGAAGAAAGAAAGGAAGAAGAGCCAAUUUUACCAUUAUUUAAGUUGCACAUUCUAGAGGCUGAUGACUCAUAUGGAACAAGUGUUCUCCUGAAGGCUUAGGUUCCUGAUUUUUUGUUAUCCCUCUUUAAGACAGUAAAGAAGGUAUGAAAUGGCAACUUCUCUCCACUACGAAUCCCAACCUGGAGAAUCACAUGAUAAUGUUCCUUCCCUCCCUCCCUGCCAAAGUGAUGCUUCAAGAUAUAACAAGAAAUAAGAUGAUGAUGUUGGCAAAACAGCCUGAUAUAAAUGAGUAAAGUAAAUGUUAAACAGCACAGAAAUGGUCAUCAAAGAAAAUAUAUUCCAGGAAUAAGAGGAUGUUCUUUACUCCAUGACUGAUUCAUCUUUAUACCUUCCUAAGCCCCCAACACAGGGUCUGGCACAUAAGGGUUUAUAAAUGUAGCUGAUUUUCUUCCAAAUACAAUGUCAGGCAUUGACUUCUGAGUGAUGGACAAGGUCAGUUAGCUCCACAGUCUACUCAUGUGCCUGGUGGCUAUUUGUUGAAUGAGGCCAAAUUAUCUAAAAGCAUCCACUCUAAGGCUCAUGUCCCCCACCUACAGUUGUCACAUACUGUCUUCCAGGCCCUUCCCCUCUCCUACUGAAGAUUUAGAGAGUUGAUCACAAUCUUUCCAUUCCACAAUAUCAGGAGAUUUUAAUAUCUACAUAAGUCACCUAUCAAACAGUUUAGCUUCAUACUUUCUGAGCCUCCUCGAUUCCUUUUCAGGGCCACACCUUAUCACAUGGGACUGUUCCCUCAAAAAAGUCCCUCUCCUGCAUCCGAAUUUGACCAUAACUACCAAUUCCCUCCAGCAAUCUUAUCCCCUGCUUCUCACUACACCUGCACAGACUGUCACUUGGUCCUGCCAUUCUCUCCCCCACUUCCCGAUCCAUCAGGGAUCCCACGGCUGAUCAUUGCAAUUACUUUCUCAAAGGCAUCCUCAGUUCCCUUGCCCUUUUGUUUUUCUGCCAUAUCUGCCUGAACAAACCUCAGCUCUAAUUUCCUUCAUAUUCUACUUAUUCAUCUUCUAUAUGUGUAUAGAGCUGAUUGAUGCUGGAGAAGAAGCAAAUAACCACAAACUUUGGUACUCUACAAAUUCAUGGUCUUAACCUCACCUUUGGUUGAUUUCAUCUAGCAUCUUCUUUAAAAGUCCCAAUCUUCCUCAAUCUGUAAGUCUCCAAGUCAGCUCCUCCCCUACCUCCACUCCCACUCUCAGCCAGUAGCAUUUUCUUGUACUUUGUCAAGACUCAUCGUGUGCUUGGGGCAUGGACAUUGGUAUGUUGUAAAAGCUCCCCUGGUGACUCUGACAGGCAGCCACUGUUGAGAACAAGUGAUCUAAGGAAACCUGGUGAAUAUCUGAAACGCUGCCUAGAGAAUCUGUUUCAGGCCUCUGGCUCCACAUCACCUCCACUUGUUAUAAUCACCACCCACUCAGCAUCCCAUGGUCCCAGCAGCUGGGCCCAUCUUGGCUCCUUUUAUCUCAUUUUGUUCCAUUAGUAUUUCAUGACCUAACUGUUGACCUGGAUACUGCAGUGACGGCCCCAUACGAUAAUCUCAGCUGUGCACGCAUAAUGGCUGGCAUGGGACACCGUGCUUCUGUGUCCCUGUCUAUCUAGGAAGGGGUAUCAGACUGGAGGGACUGAACUGUAAAUGCCUUUUUUUUUUUUUUUAAGUUUUAUUUAUUUAUUUUUGAGAGAGAGCGAGAGAGCGAGAGCGGGUGGGGCAGAGAGAAAGGGAGACACAGAGUCCAAAGCAGGCUCCAGGCUACAAACUGUCAGCUCAGAGCCGCAUCUGGGACUUGAACUCAUGACCAUGAGAUCAUGACCUGAGCCGAAAUCAGAUGCUCAACCUACUGAGCCACCCAGGUGCCACUAUAAAUGCCUUUUAAAUGCAGAACAUGACUGUGUCAGAUUGGCAGUUGUCUUCUUCAUAGUGCUGCCACCACGCACUUCUGAGGAUAAAUCUGCUUCCCUGUAGAAUUUUGGGUUAGUCUGCCCAUGAGAAGAUGCAUGGGAUUUGGAAGGUGAAAAUGAAGCAGUUGUUCUUCACAGGAGGUUGUGGUGGUCAGACAUGGCAGGCGUCCAGACCUCUUCCUAACUCUCCAUGUUUGCAGUGGUUGGAGAACUCGUCUGUUUCAGUUCAUCAGGCUUCAUUCUGCUGAGGUGUUGGGGCCUUGUUCAAAGAUGACUGGACUGUAAGGGUAAUCCUGGCCUCACUCUCCUUUCCCAGCCAUCUUGAAAUGCCCUCCAGAGCAAGACGGAAUGACAGCAGUCACCCCUGACUCAGACACUUCCUCGAGUCACUGACAACUGCCAAAGACGAGAGGCUGGAAGCUAGGCUAAGAUGGAAAGACGAGAGGUUUGGACUUCACCUCCCCUCAUUGCCAUUUGUGACUUGUGAGUUAUGUUGCUUUUUUUGGAGGGGGCGGUGGGCAGUUGUCCCAGGUCAGUAACCUUUUUCCUUUGUCCCAAGAUAAAUCCCCAAAGCAAUUACCAAGAAAAAGAAAAAAACAAAGUUUCUGUUUGGCUUUUUACUGCUCUGGCCCAUAAACAGCAGUCUGGGAUCAAGGGCGUUGUGGGUGCGCAGGAUUUAAUCUCCGCCAGGUUUUUGUCCCAUAAACAUCCUUUCAGCUGUCCUGGCCCCAGACAUCAUUCCCUUUGUGCUGCUGAUGCAUGGUCUGCGAUGGAGUGGCCUGCUACAUUGCUCUCUGUGGACCCAACUACCACCAAUUCUGACCCUUCAAGCCUGGAAAAUCCCAGCUCAUUCAUGCUUGAGAUAUUUGGACCCAAGACAGUCCCUGACUUGACAGUUAAAUAUAAUUCAAUGGAACAGAGAGGCCUGGCAUAGUGGAAAGAGCACGGCUUUGGGGAGUCAGGACAAUUUAAGUCUGAAUCCCAGUUUCAUGCCUGCAAACAAUGUGACUUUGGUCAGACCAGUUACUUAACUUCUGGAAGCCCUCGUCUUUCCUCUGAUUCCUACUAUCAGGGCUGUUUUGUGGACUGAAUAAAGUAUCGGAUGUAAAGUGAUUGGCAAAGUAAAACCGAGUUCUUAUCCCCUUUGGUCGCUGGUGUCACAGACUGGGGUGCUGAAACCACAUUUUCAGAAGGUUUCUGGUGAAACUAAACCCAGUCCUGAAGAAACUAACGAAGAUGAUGGGGGGGUCCAGAUCCCAGGCCCUAUGAGGAGCAGGUGAAGGAACUGAGCAUUUGGCGUGGAGAAGAUGAGGAUCUUCACUAACUGCCUUCACAUCUGGGAGUCACCCAAAUCUGAAAGCAAGAGCAGAUUUGGUCUCCCCCCCCCCCCCGCCGCCGCCUCUGUUACCAAAGUUACUGGAUGUCUUCCAUGUGCCAGACUCUGUGCUUAUCACUGAGGAUAGACUGGGGAACAAGAGGCCUCCAGACCUCUUGGAGCUUUUAAUCUACUUGGAAAGACAAACAUUGGAUGAGUAAUUUUAGGUGUGAUUGGUCAUCAAAAGGGGAGAGUAGUCAGUGGCACCUUGGGGUUUUAUGAGUGGUCAGAAUUAGGACCAGUGCACGGGAACUACAGCGUGAUUGGGUUCAGCCUAGAAGUCAGAAGAGAGGCCUGUGACCGCGGUAGUGGUUCGGUUUGUGUACUGCACAAGGUUCUAACCGAGGUGAUGAGUGAGGAUUGAGACCUGCGCCUUACUUUAUUGUCUCUGCCUCGAAGCAGUGCUUUUUCUGAUUUGCACAGAGCCAUCACAUAGUCUGGUGGUGGCCCUGAACUGAGGUCACCAAAAGGUGGCCCAUGACAGUAUCUGGGCUACAGAUACUCUUUAUAGGCCAGCAAAUUCUUUUUGUUUAUUUGUUUGUGUGUGUGUGUUUAGUUUGAAGGAGCUGUCAUAUUUUAAAGUUUGGGAGAUUUUACAUUAGCAUCUAGAUUUCUGGGAUCUGUGGGAAAAUUGGGAAAUCUGCUAACACUGGCCCCUAUGUUCCAACAAGGAGGAAAUUACCUGGUGGUGAGUGAUGGCUGCUCCCUUUAGAGAAUUAAACUGUUCCCCACCCCAAUCCUAUCACUCAAAUACUUUCCCACCCUGGAUCCUGGGCAAAGGAGUUUGCUCCCUCUGCUCUUUACACAUCCAGAACUGAAAGGAAUGGGCUGUCUGCUGAUGGAGUGACGAACUCUAUCCUUGCUGGUGUCCAAGCAACAACUGUAGACUCUGGGUCAGAGAUGAUGCAGGAGCCUUUCCUGCCUGGUGUGACAGAUUCCAUCCCUGGUCCUGGGCACAGAAUAUGGAUUAUUACCCCCCUUCCUGGACCUCAGAAUGUGAUUAUAUUUGAAGACUGACUCUGCAGAAAUGGAAACUUCCUCAUUUUUAUUUUAAUCUCAAGCACCAGCGGAAUGUCUAAUACAAGGAGGGAUUUGUCAUAUGUUUAAGAACUAAAAGAAUGAAUGAACAGAGACUGUCUUAGUCUUCUCAAGUUGCUAUAAGAAAAUACCAUAGACGGGGCAGCUUAAACAACAGAAAUUUAUACCUUGAAGUUCUGGAGGCUCAGAAGUCCAAGAUCAAGGUGCCAGGAAGCCCCAAAGGGACAUUUAAAGAAAAAUAGGAUUCUGAUUGCUUUGGAAGAGUGUAGUCAACUGGGGGAUUGUUCGAUUACCUGGCGGUGCUCUGGGUGCUCCCAAACCUGAGGUAUCGUGACAGCUGAGAUGCAAAAGCUGCGAGUUUGACACUUUAUCUCACUUGAAGGCAGGUUGCGGACAAAUUUAAAAGGACAAUAUGAUAUGUGAAGAUACGUAUGGUUUUGUUAGGUAGUGAGGUCACUGUUUGCUGAGGUAGUCUAAAACAAGAUGACCUCUUGUCAGAGGUAUUUUAGGGGGUUAGCCGGAUGGCCAUGUAUCUCCGGCCCUUUUCAGUCCUCGGGACUCUGAGACUGUGAUUCAGAGGAGUUCAGGAGGAGCUGUCCCUGAUUCUAUCUCUGUCCCGGGGGCGUCCUCAGCACCUGACUGGAUCUGGGUGUGGUGGAGAGAGCCUCAGCUGUCUCUUGAGUAAAUGAGAAGUGCGCUCUGUGCUGGGUGUGCCUCAGUGCCCCCCCAGAGCCCUUGAGGGUCCUAGGCGUAGAGGUUUACACUCCCUGCAAAGGGAUCUUUCUCUUGCUCGACUAAGGGAAUGGUCUCAGACUUCUCUCCCCUUCUCCAAAUGGGGUGGGAUCUUGUAUCACGUGUUCUUAGCAGAACCAGAAUUUGCUGCAGGGUCCUGUGAGGACGGAGACCAGAAGCCCAGGGGCAGGGCAGGAUUUCUGGGCAUUCUGUUUGUCUGACCCCUCAGCGAGGCAGAGCUGCUCCCGGGGCGUUAGAGAACAACGUCCAAGUGCUGAGUUCCAUCAAAGCCUCAUUCAGCCCCCUCCCCUCAACCAUCACAGCACAGAGGUUUAGGGAAAGGCAAAGGGCAUAGCUGAACCAGAUGAGGGGCUAAAAAGGCAGAGGUAAAAUGCCCAGUGCUACUGGAACCCUUUGUAGUCAUGACUGAGAGUUGCUCCCUAAGGACACAAUAUGAACAACUGGGGUACAUCCUUGGGGGUUCUGCCAGUGAGGGCAGGACCAAGGAUGAGAGAACCUACACUCACCAAGUGGGGACAUCCCUCACCAUCUGCCCAAGCCUUGUGCCAGAAGGGACAGGCCAAAACAGGGGAAGCAAGAAAAGAGUUGGAGGUUGGGCACUGGGGGUGGUGUGGUGGAGAAAGAGAGCUUGGGCCGAGAUGGAGAUUGCAAGGAUCAGCAAGAGGAACUAGUUAGAGAGAGUGGAGAGAAAGAAAGAGGCAAAAAUGAGAUUUCCGUCUCAAAUCUCAAGUGCUAUGUUCCCCCUACUUCCCUCGUCCUAAUGGAGGUGAGCUCUGAGGCUGAGCAUUCAUCUUUUGAUGUAUGUGUUUGACAUUUUUUUCGGUUGCAUGUACAAGACAGGCGCUGUCUGUAUUCUAGAACGAAGUCCCUGUCCUCAAAGAGCCGGGUGUUCAGUGGUGCCUGAACCUGCCAGACCAUAGUGGGGAUUUUAUACUCAACUUGUCAAAGCCAGAGGUGGCCGGCAUCUGGGAGCAGGCCCCUGAGACCAGCUGGGGAUCAGGAGCAGGACUGCAGUAACUGGAGAGGACGCUGGCAAACUCCUUAGAGGAGCUGGUCUCCUCCUUAGAGGAAACUAGGGAGUGGAGAGGCCACCAGAACCUGGGAGCAAACAGGCCGGACUGGUACUGAUAACAUCUAGCAAAAAGGCCUAGCUCAAAACCUGAGUUUUGUGGAGGGGGCCUUGGCUGUGGGAGGCGUGAGGGGGGAGCCCAGAAUCUGGGUGGUAACACAGAGCACCUCCCAGGUCAGCCAGUGGAGAGGCAAGUCGGGAAAAACAGUGGAGUCCCGAACUCAGUGCCGGGGAAGUGACUCACAGACGAGGCCGAUAAACAGGGUGAAUCAACACUAAGCCCCAUUGGACUAGGUUCUGAAGAUGCUUAAGGACUUCCUGUCUUCCUGGUCAGAUUUGGCUUGGGGCUGGGGCUGGGGCUGGGGCAGGGCCAGGCCAGCAGGUGGGAGCAGGCUGAGCCCUAACUGUGACUCACUUCGGCCUUUUCCUCUCUUAGCCAGGAAACUGGACACAUACGUUGUCGGCUGCUGUUCGUAGGGAGAUUGACAUUUCCUUGUGCUUGUCCUCACACCCAGACAGAGAUAAAAGGGACAGCCUCUGCCUUGGAAGAGACACGAGCUCCUGGAUUGCACAGGACUCUUAAACAGCCAAUUGCUAUCCACUGUGGCAAGGGCGCUAGAUGGAUCUGGCUGGAUUUGCUCACACAGAGGGAGAGGCACGUAAAUCUGCAGUGCAGUAGAUACCUGACCAAUGCUCAUUGAACAAAUUAACAAUUUAUUAUUAGUAUCACUACUAUCAUCUUUAUUUAGUUAUUUGUAUUUUGAUUUUUUUGGUGGAGGGAAGAAUGGAUUAAGAAGAGCAUCAUAAAAUAGGAGAAAUUUGAUCCUUGCCUUAAAUGAUGAGUUGGUGAAGAAGCUGGGUCCAAGCAGAGGUCCUAACACAGGGGGCUUGGGAAGCGGGAAGUCAUUCAGUGUGGCUGGAGGGAGAUGAGGCUUAAAGAAGGAGAGUGACGGCAGAUGGAGCAAAAUCCUGAAGACGGUAUUAGUCAGCUUUGACCAGGUAACAAACAAGCACAUAAAAAAUGAGCAUUGGUUUCGUGCACAUGUAUUUUCAGGUCGCUGGGUUGGCCCUGCUUCAGGCUUGGGGGGAAGUUCAGGUGUGCUUCCACAUAUCUCCCUGUGGGUCCGUGCCAGAGGGUAGCAGCUCUUGAGAGCGCAUUCACGGGGAAGGUCAGAAGUUUUCAGAGGAGCAAGUAGAAACACAGGAUGCUUCUCAAAACCUAGGCUCGGGAACUGGAAACUGUCACUUUUACCAAGGCAGGUCAUGUGGCCAUGCCCCAAGAGAAUGAGGAAAAUAGGUGGGGUGAGGAUAAUGAGUUAAUAGUUGGUGAACAAUCCUCUAACCUGCCAUAUAAUAUAAUGCAAUUUUGUUUUGAUUUGGGAGAAAAUGGGGGGGGGGGGCUGUUGCUAGUCCUUUUUUCAGAUAGGAUAAUUUUAAUAGGAGUGUCCAGGAACAUUUGCCAUAAUGCACAGGGACACUUUGUUUGUGCGUGGAUGUAGUUAACACACUCUAUACUUUGUUUACAUAUCAGAGUUUCUGCAGGGCAGGGGCUGCGAUUCACUUAUCUCUCUAACCUCAGCACCCAGUGCGGCACCCAGCACAGAAACACAGUGUUUCCUCCAGCCCUGUCCCUGCUUCUCACUUCCGGCCCCAGGAAGCAGCCAGAUGACAAGAGGCCACUGGGUAAACGUCUCUUGUUCUCUGAAGAGUGUUAGACUGUGAGGAUGUACCUCUGAGGUUUUGGGAGGACGAAAUGAAGAAGUACAAUGGCUGGACAGCAUAAGCACUCAGUCCAUCGCCGCCGGAAAGGGUGCGUCACCGAACUCUGGAUGCUGCCAUCUUGUCAGGCUAGAGAUGGGAAGUGAGGCACAGGCCCUGCUUGCUCUCAGAUCCAGCACUGAAGGGGAGAGCAAUCACCUCCUCCACACCCUGGGCUCAGCUGGGCAGGGAGUGAGGAGGUACAAUCUGACUCUAUGUCCCACAAGUCGCGAUGUGGCAACUGGAAAUGUUUACUGAAAAUGGUAACCACACAACAACUUUGUAAGAAAUGAACAAUAAAAUGUUCUACUUCUCUGGACAAAAAAGAGCAAUUAAGGUUGAGAUAGGAAGCCAGCUUUUAUGGUCGUGGAAAGCGCAGGCUCUGGAGUCAGAUUGACUGGAUUCUAAACUGGGCUUCUCCAUUUUCCAACGAGUGAACUGGGGUAAAAUGGGACCAGAUUUGUCAUCAGAUCCAAGAGGCAAACACUGCUUCGCAGACGUACAGUGGGAACUGUACUGUGCACUUGCACAUGAGAUGGCCCUCUACCUGUUUUGGCAACCACAAGACGGACCCUUUAUAUACAACCCUGGGGAGUCCUCCCUUCAGGACAUCUUUCCAUUGAAAUACAGAGAUGAUGACUUCAGCCACUGUGGUGAAGUCUCAAUGGAGGCCAUUCAGGUGGGAGAAGAGAGGAGCUUGGACCAGCAUGGUGGAUGUGGAAAUGCAGACAGGAACUCGCGGGGUAUUUGGAAUAGAAUCUGUAGAACUCGGUGACGGUUGAACUACAGGGUAAGAAGGGAGAACAAUGACUGAAAGAAACGUCUGACCCGAGCAUCCAGGCUUCGUACUGAGAAGGGGAGCCUGGAGGAAGCUCCGGACAUCAAGAGCUCUAGUUGUGUCUGGGAUGCCCAGCAGACAGCAGGGUACUUGGAUCUGGAGUUUAGAGUAGCAGUCCAAGCUAGAGAUGCACAUGUGGGCAUUCACAGCCCUGUAUUGUGGUGAAUGCAUGCAUGAAUGAGUAAAGUGUUACUAAGAUUGGAACUCAGAUUUGUCUAACUGAACAGUUAAUAUUUUAUAUGCUAUUCAGUCACCCUCCAAUGAACUAAAUUCAGUAAAAGGGUGAUUCUUCCAGUAUCCAGAGACUAAGUCCAAGGCAAAAGGUGGUACCUCCCAGAUCAAGACAACAGCCUGGAUUCUCAGAAGUCUUGAGAACAGGCAGAACCCAAGAGUCUCCAGAGUCAGGGACUCUGGCAUAAGAUCUGGAGGUACAUAGGAAGAAGAAGAAUCCUGGGGAGUGUAGGAUCCCAUAACAUCCCCACACUGCACUAGACCAAAACUCUCCAGAGUAGACUUUCAUAAGUAUGUACAGUACUCAGUAUAUUAGUAAGGCUGGGCUAAACUAGAUGGCAAGAACAAACAAUGCCUCCAUCUCAAUGACAUAACUCCACCAAGUGCCAUAGGGGUCAGGCACCGUUGGAGACAGUUUUCCAAGAGCACUUCCUGGAUCAGGACUAUCUGCCCCGUCCCAACAGUGACAUCCUGAUGGUCUUGAAAGUGUGGAGAAUUCACAGCUGCCCCUGACAACUUUGAACUGGAAGCCACACAAAUGUCUGCCACUCCCAGCCUAAGGACCUGGCGUGUGGCCCCAGCCCAGCUGCAGAGGAGACCCGGUGAUGGAGAGGAGCCUGUGGGAGCUUCAUGAAGAGUGACUGUCCCUGCCUCGUGAGCAGGUGCACAUGGUCUUUCCUUCUUCCAACGGGAGAAGUGAUGAGACAGGAUUGGAAGAUCCAAGUGGGAGACGAUUGGAGAGGGUCAAGGCUGGGGAUGAUGGCAUUCAAUCAACCUUUGACUGAGAGCUAGGAUCAGAAAUCUGUGACUGGAACCAUAUCUGUUUCUAGUCACAGGGAUUCCAUUUUCUCCCAUUCUCUACAUGUGCUACUCAUUGGAAAAUGCUGCUACUUCUGUGACCUGGAGGAGAGGUUAAAGUGAUUUACUCUGUCACAGCAUGAGGCCUGUGCCCUCUCGUGCCUGCUACCACCCAGGAUCCAUGUGGAGGAGAGAGCAGGGAGGGUGGGACAAGACCGCCCUGACUGAGCCGAAUCCUGAGAGGCCACAUUCAGGGAACUCCCCACAGGCCCAAACCUUCCUAAGCCAGGAUCAUGGUCUCUGCCAGUGAGUUUCUGUAUCCUUCCAGCAUAGUGAUCUUAUCGAGGCAGAUUAAAAAUGAGAAUGGGCCCAUAAAACAUGCAUUAUGGUCUCUCAAAGCCUCAUAAAGCCAGAUGAAUGCCUUGCUCCAAAGGUCCUUACGCGGAGUUUACACCUCUCUCCCUCUCCAAAAUGGAAUUGUCAACAAUAGAUUAUUGAAGUUGAAAAAAAAUUAGUUAACUUGUAAAGUUCAACCCACUUUGAAUCAUUUGGCCUCAUGGAUUCCCUGGAGUAAAGUGGAUCGUGCCAGAAGAUACCUGUUUUUCCUGGGCCCUAAAUAGCUCCUCCACAUUUUCCAUGAGGCUUGGAGCAAAGGCACAGAAAGAAAUCUUAGGGACAGCUCUUCCUUUCUGGGCGGUUCCAUCUCCUCAUCCCACUUUCCCACUGGUACCUAAGUCUGCAGCCCCAAAACAAAGUGUUUCAAUUCAGGCAGAUACCAGGCUUCUUAUGAGUCUAUUCCCAGGAUUUCAGAUCCUCUCCUGAGAAUCAGCCUUGACAGGAAGAAGAGAGAGCUGCUAGACAUUGGGCAGAUUUUCUGUUCCUCUAUCUCUGACCACCCCCGGCCAAGGGUAAGUUACCCACACAUUGCAGCCUUGCCUUUCUGUUCUCAGGCAGGAAGGAUUGAAGGUGCUGGAGUGGAGCAACGAACCCGGCUCGUGGCAUGCUCUGACUCUGGUCAAGCUGCCACCUCGUGCAAGUGACUCUGUUCCCAGAUCCCCUACACCCAAGUCCUUGUCUUGCUACUGUGUCCUCUGAGAGUGGAGAUUAUCGAGGGGAUGGGAAUCCUGACUGGGCUGAAUCCAAGCCAGCCACGGGGACUUCCUUCCCUCAACUCCUUUCUCCUGGGUCCCAACCUGACCCACCCCUCAGCCUCCAGAGCUCUGAGGCUCCACUGUGGUGGGAAUAGUGAGAGGAUGAAGCCAUGGUCUGGGAGGGGUUUGGGUCCAGGUUUAUGGCUUUCCUUUGGACUGGGUGUGAUAGUUCAGCCAACAUAGAUAGAUAUCAGCCCAAAUUUUCCCAACUGGCUAGACUAAAGAAGGCAUGUUCUUUUGAAUGAAGUAUUUGGGCCUUCUUUACUACAUCUCUGAUGGCCUGACUCUAGAGAUGGGCUGGCAUCUUUUCUCACUAGAGCCUCUGUUCUCUCCUGGACCUAAAGCUCAGACCACAUCUGUGCAGAAGAUCCUUCAUACCCAGCCGUACGACCUCAACCACAAUCUCCAGAUUGGUCCUCAGUCCUGUAACACUUCAUGCUGACCAUUGAUUCAACCCCAAUUACUCUGUAUUAUAAUUGUUUCUUUGCAUAUCUGCACCCUGACUAAACUAUGGGAAUGUGGCAGGCAAGGACCAACCAGCUUUGACUUACUGUUGUAUCUCCAGAGCCUUACACAAUGCCUGGCACAUAGUACAUGUUCAAUAAAUGUUUGCAGAAUGAGUAGACAUAUUUAAUUGUGUCUUCUUAGUCCGAUUCUAAGCAGGCAAGAACUUUUGCAGUGUGUUGAGACUGUUUGCCCGUAAACUGUGUAGGGAAGCUCACUGAUUCCGUGACCUCCUGGGAUGGGCUCUAAAACACAAGUGAGACAGAAUAAAUGUCUGGCUGUUCUGUUUUGACUGGUGACAAGAGUUGCAAGCUGAUUAAUACAUUUAAAGUGGUGAUCAAUUUGUCUUAUUCACAUCCUCUUAUCUUGAUUGUAAUGAGUAGAUCUUUUAACAUAAUGAAAACUGCAUAUUUCACUCAAAUUCACAGUUUUGCAUUCCAGAGGAGAUGAAAUGCUGUUUUUAUUUCACGUUAAAAUGAGGUGUAAGCUCUUGUUUUGGGAGGCCAGGGAAGGUGACAGGCAGCGUCUCUCCUUGAAUGCCAGAGGUGUGGCAUCUCCUAAGACCUUGAGUUUGACUAUAAAGAUUGUUUCCCAAACUGUGGGAUGGGACUGCACCUCUUUGGUCACCUUGUCCAUCUUUUCCCCAUCAAAUGAGUGACCUAUAAAUCAGCUCUGACUGGAGGCGAUCUAGUUUUGGCUUGAAUGCUCUCUAGUAAUGGAAAACUCGCCACUGUCCAUUAUAUUUUUCAAAGCCUCCAAGCAUAAGAUUAAUUCUUAUAUUGGUCCAAAAUAGACCUCCCUAUCAUUUUAGAAAAAUGAUAUUUUUUCUAUUUCUGUGGUUUUUCCUUUUUCCCUUGAUCCCUCUCUCCUUCCCUCCUUUUCUUCCUUUCCUAGCUUCUUAUCAGUUCUCCCUAAAAAUGUCUAAUAUCAUAAUAACCUCUUAAAAUUACACAAAGGCUUGGAGCUUUCACUGUGCUCUUCAAACAGCCUUGCAGAAUUGGAUGAGUGAGUAGUUUCCUUUUGAUUCUUUGCCAGUGCUGUUUCUCCUGGAAUGGCCUAUCCUCCAAGACAAGGGUGGCCUCUCUGACCCACACCCCUUUCUGCCUCUUUCACUGCCUUAUCUCCAGCACCCAAAAAGUGCCCGGUACACAUUGGGUUCUAGUCAACAGUUCUUGAAUGAAUGAAUGCAUGCGUGAGUGACUAAAUGGUGCCUGGAAGGUGUGACCUUCUGUGUGAUCCUGUGCCCCUGUCCAUGCUCGGUUGUAUGCCAGGCACCUCUCCACUAAGCAGUGAGGACCACACAGGUGCCAAGUGGAAAUGGGGACAAAAAGGGACAUUCACAUGCUCUUCUGUGGCUGCACUCAUGUUGGGGAUGCUCAGGAGCUGUGAGAAGGCUGGGCUUUUGCUGUGGAGACCAAUCAAGGGACAAGAACAUUAGGUGCACAGACAAGAGCAGAGGUGAGAAGCAGAGAGUGAGUUGAGAGCUUACCCAGCCUGGCUUCCAGCGGUGCCUGUGGCUCAACCAUAUCCUCAUGCAGGGCUUCAGGAGAUGACCCAUGUCCUUAUCCAAAUCCCUCUUUAUUGCUGAAGUCAACUCAAAAUAAUUUCCUUUACUUGCAACCAAGCAUAUCCAUCUAAAUAAAGGUAGACAUAAAGAUGUCUGUUUCUUGGUCUCGAAAGGGAGGCUGGGGAGGGUAGGAAAUUCUCCCGAGGCCAUGCGAAAAGGAAUGACGGAGUCGGGACUGAGUGUUCACUCAGUGUCCCCUGAUUGAGCUGUUCUGUGCAGUCACUGAAGCUCGUCCCUGUCCCCUGCUGGAGCUCAUCCCCAGCACUGCCUCUCGCUUUUAACAAAGGAAAGAGUCACUCCUGGAGCAGCCAGAUGUAACUGAGCAGUGGGAACCCAAACCAAGAGGAAUUCACUCUCCAUAAAUUAUGCUUUAAUAGAUGUCAAUUAUUAAUUCCUAAAUAAAUAUUUGUUAAUAUUCAAAAGAGUUUGCCUACUAAGAAAAACUCAGGCUACACAGAAUAAUUAGUGCUUCUCACUGUGCAAUGGUUGUGGCCCAUAAUGAUUUUUUUUUUCCCUUUCUUCAUCUUUAUUUUUCCUGAAGUGUGAAUGCCUGGCUGUAUCAGGUUUCCUGGAGAGGGUUCGGCUGGCUUGGGAGAACGCAAAGGGCUGAUGCUUCCAGGGAAGCUUGCAUACAGGCCAGUGGAUCUUUCUCUGUAGAACAGGAUUCUGUGAAAAACUGGACUUGCCCCAUGUCUAAGGAGAGGAAUUGGAGAUCCAGCCAGACUGGGAAAAUUUAACAAUGAGUUUGCCAAUAGCCUCAUAACAUAUGACCAGUAUUGAGCACCACGCUACAGCUGGGUUAGCAGGCAAGGGUGGGGGUGGAUAAGGAACAGAAUAGAUGAGUCUCCAGGGUUCAAGGUGUGUGCAGACUAGUAGGGCAGAGCUUCAUGGUAGAUUCUUAGCACAAGGGAGAGGGAUAGCAGUCCACAAGAAUGGGGUCAAAAAAAAAAAAAAAAAAACGCCAGGGGAGCUUGGAGAAGCCAGAAAUGUAUCCUAUUGAGGGCAAGGGAAGGAGUCGAUUUAUGAAGGAAGGAGAACUUAAGACAGUCCACCCAAAAUGGAUAGGCUUUUGAUGGGCAAAGACUGGCUUAGCAUUUGAGUUUGAAAGGGCAUUCAGGCAUUUUCUCUCCUAUUUAAGAUACAUUUACUGUAUUUGGAGCAACUGAUAGGUGCCAAGUCCUGGUCUAAGUACUAGAAAUAUAAAGAAACAUUAAAUUACAUCUGUGACACAUAUAAUGACAACUCAUGAUAUCAGAUGUAAUAUAAAAAUAGUUGCAAUACAGGGAAUUAUGAAUCCAAGAGAAUGACUACCUAUACUAAGGGGGAGAGAGAAGGCUUCAAGAGGUGGGAACUCUUGAUCUAGAUCCCCAAGGAUACAUUCACUCAAUUCUUCAUUUACAGAAAAUAUUUACUAAAUGCCUACACAUGUCAGGCACUCACUGCAUGUUAAGAUAGUGCAGUGAAUGAAACAAACUAAGCCUUUUUAUAUCCUAAGAGUUCAACAAAUUAAAGAAGAAGGGCAUUCCUACCAGAUGCUCAAGGAAGGGGAUUGUCAGGAGGUGAGACUGGAAAAGUCAAAGCCACAUUUGGAAGGACCUUGCAAGCUAGGCUAAACACAGAACUGUCUCUGGAGGCGAUCAAUGCAAAACCAAGGAAGGUUGUUAAAGCAGAAUUUGAAGUAAGACGGUGACCUUGAAGGCUCUGUGGAAGCAGACUGGAGGAAGAUGAAGCUGGAGGCAAAGAGGCUCCUAAGGAGGAGGCACUGGUUCCCUUCUUCGUGCUUUGGGAGUGCAGCACAUGUCUUGCUAAUGGCACCGAUCAUGCCCGGUCCCUGUACCAAAAUCACCGGACACAAGCUCUCAUACACAUACCCAGAGACUAAUUUAAGGGCUGGAGUCUGAGACAUCCAGAUAUAAUUCCUUCCAAACAUGUCUUUGUUGAGCUGGCCUUCAAGGAAAUAUCGAAUGACGAAUAGCUGUUUGCUGACUGGAGGAAUUUGGAAAGGACAAGUUAUUUAAAGCUCCAGGAAGAACAACCAGGUUGGGAAUAUGUCUUGUAUUAUAUGGGGAGGUUUGAAAAAGUCAUUUUGCAAAAUACUAAUUAUUAAAAUAGGUCCAGCAUGGACCUGAUCUACUUUUUUUUUUAUGUUUAUUUAUUUAUUUUGAGAGACAGAGUGGGGGGCGGGCAGGGGCAGAGGAAG